GAGGGGCUCGCGGCCUAUCAGCUAGUUGGCGGGGUAAUGGCCCAUCAAGGCUCUGACGGGUAGCUGGUCUGAGAGGAUGGCCAGCCACAUUGGGACUGAGACACGGCCCCGACUCCUACGGGAGGCAGCAGUGAGGAAUCUUCCGCAAUGGGCGAAAGCCUGACGGAGCGACACCGCGUGUGGGAUGAAGUCUUUCGGGAUGUAAACCACUGUUGGAGGGGAAGACAUCGACGGUACCCUCCGAGAAAGCCCCGGCUAACUACGUGCCAGCAGCCGCGGUAAUACGUAGGGGGCGAGCGUUAUCCAGAUUUACUGGGCGUAAAGCGCGUGUAGGCGGCUGGUUAGGUGUGAUGUGAAAUCCUCGGGCUCAACCCGAGAACUGCAUUGCAAACCGGCCUGGCUAGAGUGCAGGAGAGGGAAGCGGAAUUCCAGGUGUAGCGGUGAAAUGCGUAGAUAUCUGGAGG
rnacentral:rRNA from 1 species